AUUGAACACUGGCGGCAGGCCUAACACAUGCACGUCGAAAGAGUGGCGGACGGGUGAGUAAUGUCUGGGACACUGCAUGAUGGAGGGGGAUAACUACUGGAAAGUGUAGCUGGUACCGCAUAUCGUCAGAUUUUGUCAGAUGGCAGUAGCUUGUUGGGUGGGUAACGGCUCACCAAGGCGACGAUCCCUAGCGGGUCUGAGAGGAUGACCAGCCACACUGGAACUGAGACACGGUCCAGACUCCGACGGGAGGCAGCAGUGAGGAAUAUUGCACAAUGGGCGCAAGCCUGAUGCAGCCAUGCCGCAUGUAUGAAGAAGGCCUUCGGGUUGUAAAGUACUUUCAGCGGGGAGGCGUUACCCGCAGAAGCCGCACCGCCUAACACCGUGCCAGCAGCCGCGGUAAUUC
rnacentral:rRNA from 1 species